CCUGCUGGGGGAGGCACCGAGUGGGCAUCAGCGUGGGGGGGUGUUCUCCACCUCGUCACCUCCCCACGGCCCAGGUCAGAGGCUCCCCAGUCACCCCCUCCCCUCCGUCCGCGCAGGGAUGCAGAGAUCCAGGAGGCUUUCUCUGUAAUGUUUUAUUUCUGAAAAGAGGGGGACAGACUGCAAUUUAUCUUUGGGAAAUCCCUUUGUUCUGAGCAACCAUUAUGGCAGUGACCUUUGGUUAUGCAGAGGUAACAAAAGAAGUAAUAAGGACUCAAAUGUUAUUCCUGUGGAUGGAACUGAUGAGACACCCAAGAGAAAAUGCUGCAGAGUGAGAUGUUAAAUGGCCUGUUUAAUAAGUAACCAUUCUACUUCUCCCAAAGGCAGAUGGAGAUGUUUGAAGAGGGAAAUGUCAUAUGCAAGAAAAUGAGGAGGAAAAAGGAAGAAAACCAUCUUUCAACACAUCACCUCUGCUUUAUG